rnacentral:rRNA from 1 species
UACGUAGGGGGCAAGCGUUAUCCGGAUUUACUGGGUGUAAAGGGAGCGUAGACGGCAGGGCAAGUCUGAUGUGAAAGGUCGGGGCCUAACCCCGGGACUGCAUUGGAAACUGUCCGGCUGGAGUACAGGAGAGGUAAGUGGAAUUCCUAGUGUAGCGGUGAAAUGCGUAGAUAUUAGGAGGAACACCAGUGGCGAAGGCGGCUUACUGGACUGUAACUGACGUUGAGGCUCGAAAGCGUGGGGAGCAAACAGG